rnacentral:rRNA from 1 species
UACGUAGGAUGCGAGCGUUGUCCGGAAUUAUUGGGCGUAAAGAGCUCGUAGGCGGUGUGUCGCGUCGGCCGUGAAAACCUGCAGCUUAACUGUGGGCGUGCGGUCGAUACGGGCAUCACUGGAGUUCGGCAGGGGAGACUGGAAUUCCUGGUGUAGCGGUGAAAUGCGCAGAUAUCAGGAGGAACACCGGUGGCGAAGGCGGGUCUCUGGGCCGAUACUGACGCUGAGGAGCGAAAGCGUGGGGAGCGAACAGG